rnacentral:rRNA from 1 species
GUCGAGGGGAGCAAGCGUUAUUCGUAAUAAUUGGGUGUAAAGGGUUCGUAGGCUGUUUUUGUAAUAUUAAUCGUGAAAUCUUAAAGUUAUAUUUAAAAUUAUGAUUAAAUUUAAAAACUAGAGUGUAUAAAAGGUUAAUUUCAUAGAAUUACAUAUAUAAAGGUAAAAUUUAUAAUGAUAUGUAAGAAUGCCAUUAGGGUUAAAACUAUGAGCUAUUAUAUUAUUACUGACGCUGAGGAACGAAAGCGUAGGUAGCAAACAGAAUUAGGAACUCUGGUAGUCUACGCUGUCAAUUCUGAAUGUUAAAAUUUGGUGAUGAUCAGAUUUCAAAGUUAACACGUUAAACAUUCCACCUGGGGAGUACUAUCGCAAGAUUGGAACCCAAAGAAAUUGACGGGAAUUUACACAAAUUGUGGAGCAUGUUGUUUAAUGCGAUUCUACACGCAAAAUCUUACCAGUUUUUGUAUAAUACAAAUUUACUUAAAUAAUUAAAAUAUUUUAGUUGAUCGUAUUACAGGUGCUGCAUGGCUGUCGUCAGCUCUUGCCGUGAGGUGUUUGGUUAACUCCAUUUUAAAGGGCGCAACUCUUAAUUAUUGUUAUUAAAAUUAUUAUUAAUGAUAAUUCUAUAAAGCUAUAAUAACAGCGUAUAUCAGUUUUCUGAGUACAAAGGAAGGAGAGAAUGAAGUCAAGCCUUUAUGGCCCUUAUAAACUGGGCUACUAAUGUGCUACAAAAAUAUCUUAUAAAAAGUAUGCAAUAAAGUAAUUUUUAGCUAAUCUUAAAAUGAUAUUGUUGUUCGGAUUGUAAACUGCAACUCGUUUACAUGAAGGUGGAAUAAUAAGUAAUCGUAAAUCAGCAAGUUACGGUGAAACCUGUACCUAAAUUU